AUGCCGAGGAGGACGAGGAGAGCGACGAAUCGACUGAUGACGAAGAAGUCGACUUGCCUCCUCGCGGGGAGAGGAGAUCCAAACACGCUCACGACCCGGCGAGCGCUCCGAACUUGGUGGCUGCGCCGACUGGACAGUCUUCGAAGCGUCCCAGGACGUCUUCCCCAACACCGACUGAGAAGGCUCCAAAGCAGUCCAAAGUUGCGCCGCCUCAAGCGCUGA
rnacentral:rRNA from 1 species